GCCUUCGUGGUGUAAUGGUAGCACACUCGGCGCGUAUUCGAGAGGUUCAGGUUCGAGUCCCGGCGAGGACA
rnacentral:tRNA from 1 species